AGCCACAACAGCCCGCUGGCUCGCACGGGGUGCUCUUCAUCGAGUGUCCCGCGNUGGCCGGCAGAGUUUACUUUGAAAAAAUUAGAGUGCUCAAAGCAGGCUACACUGACGGCCUGAAUGCCUAUGCAUGGAAUAAUGGAAUAGGACCUCGGUUCUAUUUUGUCGGUUUUCUGAACCCGAGGUAAUGACUAAUAGGAACAGGCGGGGGCAUUCGUAUUGCGACGCUAGAGGUGAAAUUCUUGGACCGUCGCAAGACGAACUACUGCGAAAGCAUUUGCCAAGGAUGUUUUCAUUAAUCAAGAACGAAAGUUAGAGGUUCGAAGGCGAUCAGAUACCGCCCUAGUUCUAACCAUAAACGAUGCUGACCAGCGAUCCGCCGGCGUUAUUCCCAUGACCCGGCGGGCAGCUUCCGGGAAACCAAAGUCUUUGGGUUCCGGGGGAAGUAUGGUUGCAAAGCUGAAACUUAAAGGAAUUGACGGAAGGGCACCACCAGGAGUGGAGCCUGCGGCUUAAUUUGACUCAACACGGGGAACCUCACCAGGCCCANACACCGGAAGGAUUGACA
rnacentral:rRNA from 1 species